AUUAGUUGGUAAACAGAACACAGCGAGUUGACCACAACCGGGGGCUAUUUCUGUUAGAGGCAGCAGAGCUGGGAUUGGCAUCGUCACAUGGUUAGGAAUUUCCUCAACACAUUGCAUGGUGGGAAGAGAAUGGCUCGUUAAGGUCCAACAGAGGCCAGUUCAUAAUUGAUGGUUUAAGUUCCUUUUUGCAAUGGAUAGUGUAAUGGGAGAAAGAGGUGCGUCUGGGAAUUUAUAUACACCGUAUGAAACCGAGACGGGGCCCACAUUUAGGAGCAGACCAGUGAUGGUGUCUCUAUGGUGAAAGAUGCAGGAAUGCUAUUUGCAGGAAUGUUAAUCAGUAAAUGCUGGAAAUGAUUCUUCUUCUCACUCAUUGUCUCGAGAAGUUUGAAAAGUCGUCAUGUUUUGCUUGAGAUUGAAAUCAGGAAGGACAAACGGGGGUGAAAACCCACCAGCAUGUGAGGAGUACGUGCACUACUGCAACGGGCACCGGCUGAGUCUCCUCAUACCAACAUGUCUCUCAGCACCAACACUCUCAUCCUGCUCCUCCUCAGAUAGAGAAACACCUGAAGGCAGGUAUUUUUGCUGAAAGCUAUAAUAAAUCAUUGGGCUUUUGUGUCUCUGUUG